UCCACCUGCCUUGGCCUCCCAAAAUGCUGGGAUUACAGGUAUGAGCCACUGUGCCUGGCCCAGAAGCUGCAGAUUCUAAUAUUAGCUUUGCAAUGCAUUUAUUCUGAGACCUUGGGCAUGUCAUCAACCUUCCAUAUCUUAGUUUCCUAUCUGGGAAGCUGCAGUGGUACUUAUGACCAAUUUUGCAGAGAUGACAGCAAUAACUAAUGAUAGGCACUUAGAUUUUAGACUUAAUGGGAGUUAGCUCCCUUGACACAGCAGUAUGGGAACAAUAACCGGCCAGCCAAUGAGUGAAAAAGCUGGAUUAUCCCUUAGAAAUGAAUUGUAUCAUUACUGAUUAUGAAUACCCCAAAUUAUGACAGAUUCACAUGUAAGGAUGCCAGGGAAAAGUAGCCGUGAGCUAUAUUAUACAAAAUUGUUUAUUACCCAAGAGAAUCUAGGUGCUAAUACGGAUGGUACUACAUCUGUGAAAUUCUGAAACCCAUGAAGGAUUUGAAAUAUAAAGCCAAAUAAAACAUAAUACAGAGGGAAAUGAUUUUGAUUAUGUAACAUUUAUAUAUAGCAUUUCAUUUUACAUUUUCAAAUUGCUUUUCAGUCAUUGGUUUAUUCUUCACAGCACACCUGGGGAGUACAUCUGUGCAUUUAUCCUCUGUUCACAGCUGAGGCAACUGUGACUGAAACAGGCAAAGUGGUUUGUCCAAGAGCAAAGCCAUGGGCAGGGAAGUUUGAGAGAAAGAAAAAUAUGCCAAGAUGAUUAAGUUUCACCUAAGAUUUUAAAGCUCCAUCUAAAAGAUGUGGAAAACAAGCACCGUACCAGAAUAUUGUACCUGAUUUCUGCCCUGUCUUAAAAACACCAUGACAUUUUCCUUGAUUUCAAGAAUACAGAAAAUGAACAUGGUCCUUUAAAUUAUGUGACUCUUUCGAAGCAAAAUGGAAACAAGGAAAAACCACAUUUGUUUUCUGCCUCCCUUUUCCAAAAAGCUGAAAAUACAGUGCAAAUGAACUCUCAGUCAUGGGUCAACAUCUUUACAAGACCUGCCCCUCGUUCUCAGGUUAGAGAUUUCUCCUCUGCCUCCCCAUUCUCACCCACACCCAACUUGAAAUAGGUCUCCAGGUCCCAUUUUGACCACAUGUUCUUUCAGUCACAUAUGGGAGAUGAGAAGGGGUUAAAUGUAGCUAUGCAAGACUAGCAAAACUCAUCAGCAAACUGGAAAACAACUUCAGGCUUACUAUCAACAGUGGGUAGUUAGCAUCAGUUUAAAGACUGUGAAUGCACACAAUUUUCCUAAGAAUAUUUUUCAGAAGAGUGUAAUUAUAGGUAUAAUCUCUAAUUGCAUUAUAAAUGAUAAAUAAGAGAAGGUUAGCAAACUAUAUUUCAGGGCUGUUUGCUGUACUUAUCUGCUGCCAUCAUUGGCCCUGUCUUCCUUUGUGACUGCAGACUGUGUUUAUUAGUCUUGGUGGUAAGGGGGAAUUGCUGUACGGUAGUUUUGUGUUAGGAAAGGAUCUUACAGAUGAUGAUGAAGGUUGCAGGAAGGACUGUUGAAGUGUUUUAUUUUGGUAUUUGUUUCAUUUUUAAAGGCUGUGACUAGGACGUCAUACCUGUCUAAUAAGCAUGCAUGUAACAUUUUUAUAUUUGCUGAGUGCUUUAUAGUCCUCCAUUAGUCCCCACAAUACCCCUUGAGGGUAGGUCAGUAUUACCGCCUACAGUUUACAUAUGAGGAAAUUUAAGAUACAAAGGGAUUACGUGAUUUGUACAAGGUCACCCAGCAUGCAAGCCUACCUAAUAAAAGGCAACUGCAAAGCUCUUUCCAAAUAAAAAGUACCUUGUAAGUGUUAGGUAGUAUUAAUGGGUAUGAUCCCAGAAUGAGUAAAAUACUCUUCAGGAGUAAAGUGCUCAUACAUGAUAUAUAAGAUUAAUUCUCUCUCUCUCUCUCUUUUUUUUAACCUCUGGGUGACUUUUGAAAUAGUUAUUCUUGAACCUGGCUAUGCAUCAAAAACGUCUCUAGAGUUUUUAGAAUAUGUGAGCACAUAGGCUCCUACUCAGCCGAUAGAAUCAGAAUCUGGGCAGUGGGAUUUAGAUAAUUAUGCCUUGAAAAACCUCCACGGGGGAUUUGGAUGCUCAGUCAGAGUUGAGAAUCACUACUCUAGACUAGAAGAGUAACACUGGUCAGGCCAAGAGCAACAACGAAACACUGUGGAGUUAAUUCAGAAGAGAAAGUCUGGUGUCUUCCAGGCCUCUGUCCAGCCAGUUCACAACUAUUAUUAGCAGAGGAACUGCCUCCCUGAAAUAAUCAACUGUAAUAACUAUGUGUGAAAUUCCAGGAAAUAGUGCAGAGAUUAAAGUUUAUUUAAGAACCACCAGUUUUUGAAAGUUAUAAUUUACUGGGUAAAUUUACUGGUGCACCUUGGGUUAUUACUGCGUUUAAUGCUUUUAUUCUGAAUACUUUGUACUUCUUCAUAAUGAACAUGGUAAGAACCUAUAAUAUCUGCCCAUUCAUCCAUCUGCCAAACACUUAUUGAAUACUUGCUGUAUGGAGAUUUCAGAGUGAAAAUAAUGAUCUUUUUCCAGAAGUUUAUAAUCAAGUGAUAAAAACAGACACAGGCAAAACCAACCAACCAAACAAAAACCCGAAGCCACACAUAUGAUAAUAAAAAGUAUAAUCAAAGCGUUAGAUGAGGCAUUAUUCAUAAUUGCUAAAAAGGGGGACUGCUAAUGCUACAACAUGGAUGGAUCUUAAAAACACUAUGCUAAGUGAGAGAAGCCAGUCACAAACGUGGUAUUCCCAUACAAUGAACUAUUAUUAUUAUUAUUAUUAUUUAUUAAACAAUGAAGUGGAAUAUAGUACUGAUACAUACUACAACAUGGAUGGAUCUUAAAAACGCUAUGUUAAGUGAGAGGCACCAGUCACGAAGGACCACAUAUUGUAUGAUUCCAUUUAUAUGAAAUGUCUUGAAUAGGCAAAUCUGUAGAGACAGAAAACAGAUGGUUGCCUAGGGCUGGGGGUGGGGAAGGAUGGAGGAAAUGGGGGACUGCUAGUGGGUACAGGGUUUCUUUUUGGAGUGACGAAAUGUCCUAAAAUUGAUUGUGGUGACAGCUGCACAACUUUGUUGACUGUACUAAAAACCAUUCAAUUGUAAAUGGGUGAAUUGUAUGAUAUGAAAAUUGUAUCUCUUAAUAAAGACAAUAGAUGAUAGA